UUUAUCACCUGCCACGUAAUUUUCUCUUUACACUAAAUCUCAAACCAAAAAAAAUUUCACCAAGUUCGGUCCGCCGCUGCUACAACCACCAUACUCCGACCAUCAUAUCACUAUUCUAACGACCGUACCUUGAUUUAAAGCUGUUUCAACUACUUCAAGAAGCCAAAAAGUGUGACCAGCAUGCCUCGAUUUUGAAACUGCUCUAACUUUAACUCCUCCACUGCCGAAAAAAAAAUGUGUCUAAGCUUCGAUUCAAUGCUCAGAAGACUGAUGAAUCAUUGAUGCUGUCAUUAUAAGAGAUCCAUAUCGAACCUGGCGCUCGUGAGAAGGCUAUGGGCAAAAUUGGACCUGCGCCUAAUGAGACAAAUGUAAAUGCUUCUCCUGAUGCCACACCCGAGAGGAUUCAUCUGAUGCCUGGAAUGUGAAGGAAACAACAUUAUUUAUGGAUGAUAGGAGUGAAGAUAAUGCUCACCAUUGAAACUUCUUCGUACCCUGGAUGCUGCAUCAGCAGGAGUGCAUGCAACAACUGAUUCACCUCUUAAAGGUUACUCACCACCAUGCAAUGGAGGCAUAUAGAUUUCAGCACUGAACAGUUUGGAAGAAAGAAUUUGAGGUCUAGCAUGGAACUUCUACAGAAGAGUUUGAAAGGAUGAAACAUGAAAACUCUUCAAUUCCCGAGGAACAUUAUUCUAAUCCAGGCAUUGAAAUUCUUCAGAGUGAAAUUGUGCAACUACACAAGGUAUACUCAGGUAACUUGUAUACAUUAUAGUUGAGUAUGUUAUCUUCACACUGAUCACUAUUUAUCGUGGUUCUUAAUCUACACGGAAAACGAAGAGCUCUGAAGCAUGUUCCCAACAUUCAAGGAUAUAGUUAGCACUGGUAAUGCAUUGGAGAGGGUACUUGUCAUUGAAAUAGAGCUUGAUGAAGCGUUAAAGGUAAAAACUAAACCUAGUAUGUUCCAGAGGUAGGAUAUUGCACUUCUUCAUCUUCGCCUUCUGCUUAAUAGCCCUGGAAGAUAUUGUUCUUCUAUUUCUUUUACUGUAUUAUAAUAAAUCUUUUAAUCAUGAUUUCAAGCUGCUUAAUCAACAAUCUCAAUGACAUUGGUCAGCCCUACUUAA